rnacentral:rRNA from 1 species
CGUGUAGGCGGUUUCGUAAGUCGGAUGUGAAAGCUCCUGGCUCAACUGGGAGAGGCCAUUCGAUACUGCGGGACUUGAGGACGGGAGAGGGACGUGGAAUUCCCGGUGUAGUGGUGGAAUGCGUAGAUAUCGGGAGGAACACCAGUGGCGAAGGCGACGUCCUGGCCCGCACCUGACGCUAAGGCGCGAAAGCGUGGGUAGCGAACG